UAUGCGCUGUGCCAAGGGCCGCGGAAAUACGGAGUGUUCAAUCGUUAUCGUGAGUGAUUGGGUUGUAAUGGUCCGUAGGCGGACUUGUAAGUUAGGUGUGAAAUCUCAUAGCUUAACUAUGAAACUGCCAUUGAUACUGCAUGUCGUGAGUAAAUUUGAAGUGGCUGGAAUAAGUAGUGUAGCGGGGAAAUGCAUAGAUAUUACUUAGAACACCAAUUGCUAAGGCAGGUCACUAAGAUUUAACUGACGCUGAUGGACGAAAGCGUGGGUAGCGAACAGGAUUAGAUACCCUAGUAGUC
rnacentral:rRNA from 1 species